UUGGAGGGCAAGUCUGGUGCCAGCAGCCGCGGUAAUUCCAGCUCCAAUAGCGUAUAUUAAAGUUGUUGCAGUUAAAAAGCUCGUAGUUGAAUUUCGAGAUCAAUUUGUCGGUCGUGCCUCGGUACGCACUGGUAUUAUUGGUUCCUACCUUCUGAAGAACCGCGAUGUCAUUAAUUUGGUGUCGUGGGGAAUCAGGACUGUUACUUUGAAAAAAUUAGAGUGUUUAAAGCAGGCUUACGCUUGAAUACAUUAGCAUGGAAUAAUGAAAUAGGACGUUUGAUUCUAUUUUGUUGGUUUCUAGGAUUGACGUAAUGAUUAAUAGGGAUAGUUGGGGGCAUUAGUAUUCAAUUGUCAGAGGUGAAAUUCUUGGAUUUAUUGAAGACUAACUACUGCGAAAGCAUUUGCCAAGGAUGUUUUCAUUAAUCAAGAACGAAAGUUAGGGGAUCGAAGACGAUCAGAUACCGUCGUAGUCUUAACCAUAAACUAUGCCGACUAGGGAUCGGAUGAUGUUAAUUUUUUAAUGACUCAUUCGGCGCCUUACGGGAAACCAAAGUGUUUGGGUUC
rnacentral:rRNA from 1 species